UCAGGGCCUGGGCCCAGGGUUAGGUUUUUACGGUCAGGGCCCAGGGUUAGGGUUUUAGGGUCAGGGCCCAGGGUUAGGGUUUUAGGGUCAGGACCCAGUGUUAGGGUUUUAGGGUCAUGGCCCAGGGUUAGGGUUUUAGGGUCAGGGCCCAGGGUUAGGGUGAUUUCCAGGAAGUGACCUCACAGUGACUCAAGCUACCACUUACUGUUGAUUGUGAUGAAAUGCCAGCUGAGGCACAUGCCUUGGGAGCUAAGUGGUUGCUGCCCUUGACUACUAUGAAGACUGGUGUGGGAAGGGUCGCUUUGGAUGCACUUGAGCAGGGGUCCCCAAUCCCUGAGCCAUGGAGCCGUAAGGAGCCACACAGCAGGUGAGUGGUGUCGAGUGAGGGAGUGAGGGAAGCUUCGUCUGUAUUUACAGCCACUCCCCUUUGCUCACAUUCCCGCCUGAGCUCCACCUUCUCAGAUGAGCAGCAGCAUUAGAUUCUCAUAGGAGAACGCACCCUGUUGUGAACCGUGCAUGUGAGGGAUCUAGGUUGCGCUGUGCUUAUGAGAAUCUAAUACCUAUUGAUCUGUCACUUUCUCCCAUCACGCUCAGGUGGGACCAUCCAGUUUCAGGAAAACAAGCUUAACACGCCCACUGAUUCUACAUUAUGCUCCUACCUCCCGGCAGCCUCGCCAGGCCCAGAACUCUCUCCAGUCAGCCUCUACAGACCAAGCUCAUGACUCACAAUGGCCUAUUUAGGCCCAUACCCUACCUCACGGCAGUCUCCGCAGAUGAGCCUACUGCCUCACAACAGCCUCCACAGGCACAGCUCCAUCGUUACAAUGGCCUCUUUAGACCCAGCUCCUGCCUCCCAGCCUUCUCUCCAGGCCCUGAACUUUCUCCGUGGGACCAUCCAGUUUCAGGAAAACAAGCUUAACACGCCCACUGAUUCUACAUUAUGCUCCUACCUCCCGGCAGCCUCGCCAGGCCCAGAACUCUCUCCAGUCAGCCUCUACAGACCAAGCUCAUGACUCACAAUGGCCUAUUUAGGCCCAUACCCUACCUCACGGCAGUCUCCGCAGAUGAGCCUACUGCCUCACAACAGCCUCCACAGGCACAGCUCCAUCGUUACAAUGGCCUCUUUAGACCCAGCUCCUGCCGCCCAGCCUUCUCUCCAGGCCCUGAACUUUCUCCGUGGGACCAUCCAGUUUCAGGAAAACAAGCUUAACACGCCCACUGAUUCUACAUUAUGCUCCUACCUCCCGGCAGCCUCGCCAGGCCCAGAACUCUCUCCAGUCAGCCUCUACAGACCAAGCUCAUGACUCACAAUGGCCUAUUUAGGCCCAUACCCUACCUCACGGCAGUCUCCGCAGAUGAGCCUACUGCCUCACAACAGCCUCCACAGGCACAGCUCCAUCGUUACAAUGGCCUCUUUAGACCCAGCUCCUGCCUCCCAGCCUUCUCUCCAGGCCCUGAACUUUCUCCGUGGGACCAUCCAGUUUCAGGAAAACAAGCUUAACACGCCCACUGAUUCUACAUUAUGCUCCUACCUCCCGGCAGCCUCGCCAGGCCCAGAACUCUCUCCAGUCAGCCUCUACAGACCAAGCUCAUGACUCACAAUGGCCUAUUUAGGCCCAUACCCUACCUCACGGCAGUCUCCGCAGAUGAGCCUACUGCCUCACAACAGCCUCCACAGGCACAGCUCCAUCGUUACAAUGGCCUCUUUAGACCCAGCUCCUGCCGCCCAGCCUUCUCUCCAGGCCCUGAACUUUCUCCGUGGGACCAUCCAGUUUCAGGAAAACAAGCUUAACACGCCCACUGAUUCUACAUUAUGCUCCUACCUCCCGGCAGCCUCGCCAGGCCCAGAACUCUCUCCAGUCAGCCUCUACAGACCAAGCUCAUGACUCACAAUGGCCUAUUUAGGCCCAUACCCUACCUCACGGCAGUCUCCGCAGAUGAGCCUACUGCCUCACAACAGCCUCCACAGGCACAGCUCCAUCGUUACAAUGGCCUCUUUAGACCCAGCUCCUGCCUCCCAGCCUUCUCUCCAGGCCCUGAACUUUCUCCGUGGGACCAUCCAGUUUCAGGAAAACAAGCUUAACACGCCCACUGAUUCUACAUUAUGCUCCUACCUCCCGGCAGCCUCGCCAGGCCCAGAACUCUCUCCAGUCAGCCUCUACAGACCAAGCUCAUGACUCACAAUGGCCUAUUUAGGCCCAUACCCUACCUCACGGCAGUCUCCGCAGAUGAGCCUACUGCCUCACAACAGCCUCCACAGGCACAGCUCCGUCGUUACAAUGGCCUCUUUAGACCCAGCUCCUGCCUCCCAGCCUUCUCUCCAGGCCCUGAACUUCCUCCGUGGGACCAUCCAGUUUCAGGAAAACAAGCUUAACACGCCCACUGAUUCUACAUUAUGAUUCUUCAGGCCCAGCAUCUGCCUCACUGUGGACCCCCCAAGCCAAGCUCCCAACCUUUCAGCAGCUUCUACACACCCAGCUCCCGCCUGCCAGUGGCCUCUUCAGGCCCAUGGGGCUCAUUCCUCACAACAGCCUUUCCAGUCCCAGUUUUUCCCUUCCGGCGGCCUCUCCGGGCUGAGAACCUCCUCAAGUCGGCCUCUCCAGACUCACUUGCACCCUCCAGGCGUCCUCUCCGGGCCAAGCUCCUCUUCCUGGCUGAGUCUCCAGGCCUGACUCCUGCCUCUCAACAACCUCUUUGGACUCAGUGCCUACCCAUCUCCUGGCGUCCUUGGUCGGCCCACAGCUUCCUCAAGCCAAGCUCCCCAGGCCCAGGUCAGGCCUCACGGUGCCCCCUCCACGAUGAGCUCCUGCCCUCCAAUGGCACCUGCAGGACCCAAAUGGUCUCCGGUCGGUGGGCUCCUCCACGCCAAGUUUGGGCCUCCCGGUGACCUCUGCAGGCCCAAGUUGUCCUGAAGUCGGCAUCUCCCAGCCAUGCCUCCCAGCAAGUAAGCAAGCUCUUUUGGCUCAACUCCUGCCCAGCUCCCAACCGCCUUUGUAGGUCCCGAACUUUCUCCAGCCAAGUUCUUUGGGCCUCAUUCCUGCCGCCCGGUGGCCUGUACGGGCCCAGCAAUGGUUGGAGAACGGCCUCUGCAGGUCCCGCUCUUGCCUCCCAGGGGCCUCUCCAGGCCCAGCUCUUGCCCCCACGGCGGCCACCUGGGGCCAAGUCCCUGCCUGCCUCCCAGCAGCCCGCAUGCGGCCCAGCUCCUCCCUCACGGUGGCCUGUUGAUGCCCAUGCCUCUGGUACCCUGCCCAGAGGCAUGAGCCCCUGCCACACACUGGCUCCUCCCAUGCUGAGAGAGGUCAGCGUGAGCCCUUGCCUCACACCGGCCCCUCCCAUCCUGAGAGAGGUCAGCGUGAGCCCCUUGACUCACACUGGCUCCUCCCACGCUGAGAGAGGUCAGCGUGAGCCCUUGCCUCACACCGGCCCCUCCCAUGCUGAGAGAGGUCGGCGUGAGCCCUUGACUCACACCGGCCCCUCCCACGGUGAGAGAGGUCAGCGUCAGCCCCUUGCCUCACACCGGCCCCUCCCACGCUGAGAGAGGUCGGCGUGAGUCCUUGCCUCACACCGGCCCCUCCCACAGUGAGAGAGGUCAGCGUCAGCCCCUUGCCUCACACCGGCCCCUCCCACGCUGAGAGAGGUCAGCGUCAGCCCCUUGCCUCACACCGGCCCCUCCCACGGUGAGAGAGGUCAACAUGAGCCCCUUGCCUCACACCGGCCCCUCCCACGCUGAGAGAGGUCGGCGUCAGCCCCUUGCCUCACACCGGCCCCUCCCACGCUGAGAGAGGUUGGCGUGAGCCCCUUGCCUCACACCGGCCCCUCCCACGCUGAGAGAGGUCGGCGUCAGCCCCUUGCCUCACACCGGCCCCUCCCACGCUGAGAGAGGUUGGCGUGAGCCCCUUGCCUCACACCGGCCCCUCCCACGCUGAGAGAGGUCGGCGUCAGCCCCUUGCCUCACACCGGCCCCUCCCACGCUGAGAGAGGUUGGCGUGAGCCCCUUGCCUCACACCGGCCCCUCCCACGCUGAGAGAGGUCAACAUGAGCCCCUUGCCUCACACCGGCCCCUCCC